GAUGGGGACCGGGAAGCCCCUUCCUCUGGACCAGGAGCAGUGGGACGACGGCUCAGAAGCCCCUACCUCUGGGCCGGGAACAGUGGGACUCAGUACCUUGGUCUGGUGGUCUGGUGUCCUCUGCGCCUUGGUAAUGUGGAAUCAGGUGGCUGCGUGUCUGCAGUGGGGUGAUUCGGUGUCUUCCACGUGACUCAGGACCUUGGUAGGGCGUGCACAGACCUGCCUGUCUGCAGCGGGCUGAUUCGGCGUCUAGCAAGAUGGGUAUUGGUAAUAGCCGGCUGCUUUUUGUACAUAUGCUUAAAAAAAAUGCUUCGGUCUCGUGGAGCAAAGGACGCUGAAGGUGCCAGGUGGCUGCCUGAAAGAUGAGUCCGUUUUGCGGGAAAUUCUCCUGCCCCUUAGGAUGAUCCUGACAACUGUCCUGCUGAUAAAUCUAAUGAUGACGCUGAAUGAGAAGGUUUAUUGGACUUAUGUACCUGAUCCACCUGUUGUACAUCCAAUGAGCUCAAAAAAUGGAGAAGUAAUGGUAUGGGUGAACAAUACCAGGCUGUUGGAUGAGACGGCGGCACCUGACAAGAACGAGGUCCUAUUGUUCAACUAUACGGGAUCAGAAACCGGAACCCCCAUAUGUUUCUUCAAAAUCAACAGAACUGAUUGUAUAAGACUGAGCGCUCGCACCCUGACAGGAAGGCAGGUAGAUCAAUGCAAAGGCGGGAUCACUGGAGUCCAUCUACAUCUACCUGUGGGUAUAGAGACCACUGGUGUAGUGCCUCAGACUUUUAAUGCUCCAAUAAGACUAUUCCAUGGAAGAGAUGUGUGGCGGAUGCCUCUGUGAGAUAUAAUAUUACUGGACUUGAUACUUAUGUUUUGGACUGGUCUGAAAAUUCUUGUCAUCCCAAAAGAAAUGUCACUGCAUAUGUCAUGUGCUCUUAGGUAUUACUUGUAGGAAAUAUUAGUGUUCAGAAAGAUUAUGAUUAUUAUAAUGUAAUUUACUUCAAUUGUCAAAUAAGCAAUUGUGUCACCCAAACAGAAAAUCAGAUAAUGGUUUUGCGAAUGUGUUCUUAGAUUUGGAUAUUAUAGAUCCCCAAAAUGCAGAAUCCCUGGAAUUUGAUGCAGCCCAGGCUGCACAGGAUUUUUAUCGAACAAAUUAGAAAAGUUCUGCCAUCUACAUCUGCAUUUAUGCAGUAACUCAUUUCCAUAGUAAUUAUUGGAGGAGGGCUGCCUCUUAGAUGCAUGAUCCUUCCGGCGCUACUGCAGAUGUUUAUGCAUUUUUUAAUGAGGAUGGCUGGUCUAUAAUUACAUGCUACACCCCCUAAACCCAUGGUGUAAUUCCCUGCAGAGGCUGGUAGUAAAUGACGGGUAAGAGGAGUAUAGGAAAUCACCAACCUAAGACAAAGCAAGAGUACUGUGACGCUCUUGACUCCAUGACGGGUAAGGGAUUUCUUUAUAUUCCUCGCCUAAAACAGGCACAGCCUAUCUGCGUGAUCAAGGGACCUUGAUCAUAACAUAUAAAACGGGGAUAUGUGGAGAGUGGUGUUAGCCAUAGAGGCUCCAUGUUAAAUCUUACCCUCCAUUGUAUAGAGCAAGGAGACUGUUAUGAGGAACCCCAUCCUUGCUGAAUUAGAUUGCCCUGGAGCAUGAUGAAUGUUUUG
ensembl:lncRNA